UCUUGGAAUGCUGUGAACUCCCGAAGCUAUCCAUGACCACUGGAUCUGACUAAAGGACCUGUUUUCCUGCUGGUUGCCUUUAUCAGAUGUGUCUGCAAGGGGAGUCUUCAGCACAGUUGUUGGAUUUCAGAGCCCAGCAGACAUGGAUGGAGGGCAGAGGAAGGAGCAGACGUAUUAAAGAAGGGGAUCCAGGUGGGAAUAAUAUUUAUGGGAAGAUUGCCUGCACCUCAUCUCUGCUACUGUGUCAGCUGUUGGAGUAGAUGGAAUGAGCUGUGCUGAGCUUGUCUGGCUCUGAAAUAUCAUCUCUGCACCUUAACCAGGAGGGAUAUUAGAGUCCCAAACCGACUAACAAAAAUCAGUCAUAACCCAGGAGCAACCUCGGCAAUACAUGUCCGUGCUCUGACCCAGACUACCAAUGUCAAGUGUUUUGUUUUUCUGUGUGGUUGCUGGGGGUAGGUUCUCCCCCCAUAGCUCUCCACAGGUUUUGCUGUUUGAAAGGGAGCUCAGUGCAGCAUCAAUUGGCUUCUCCCUUUGUGAAAUGUUGAGCACACAGAGCCCAGGCAGGCUGAUGGUGUAAAGCAAAACCUGAAAAUGGUCUAACGCUGCUAAACCCAAUCAGAAGUAAUUGCUGUUGCUUAUCAGUGGACUUUUCAGUUCUGCCACCCACGUUUGGAGAUGUCUGUGACUCACUGCACCAAUGACAUCAGGUCGGAGAGAGGCCACAAACCUCCACUGCAGGAUGGUGAGACUGUUGAUCUAAACACUCCCCAAACCUACUGCUGAACUGACUUGGAACCAGAAUCUGGAGGGGACUAUGUGAAGCACUUGACACUAGAAAAUGCUUGAAGCUUGAUGGUGAUCCACAGCUCCCGGUUCAAAACCACGAGCAGUGCCAGUGGUGACGAGCUCGCUGCCUGCUCUGUGCAGAACUGGUGGUCCUGAGCAGCAGGGCUGUGGAAGGAAUGGGCUGAUGGCUUUUUGGGGCACUCAGAACCUUCCAUCUUUGCUGCUUUGCCCACACUAGAGAGCGCAUUUUACCAGAGCAAUACCUGAAGAGCGGGAAGGAUGAACAAGCCUGCCCUGCCACUGGCUGUCAGUGGAUAUCGGGCUUGUUACAGGCAUUCAAGUUACAUCUUGUACAAGUCCAUGCUGUCAAUCCACAGGAUUCCAGGCUGAGCUCAGAUCAGCUCUGUCACUUACCAGAUGAGUGAGGACCAGACUCUGCAUCACAUUUCCACAGCUGGAGACAAGUGGGUCGAAUCCCUCCUGUCGACAAGAUGAGGAAUGUGUCAUGUCUUGUCUUGCCAUGUACAGCAGAUAUCCUGAUUUAAAACAAUGCUGUCUUCCCAGAUUCCACUUCUUCCUGUGCCUCCUUGCAUAUGAGAGGACCCAUCCAUCUUAAUCCUGUCACUUUGUCUCUCCCACCUCUACUUCCCUUUUCUACUAAUCCAC